UAUUAAAAGUUCUAUCUAUUUAUAUUGUUAAAAACUAGUGUGGCUGACGGAAUAAACAAACAGUUAAAUCUAGUAUGCCAUGUGUAGCUCGUGUUAACAUAUAGAAACCAAUUUUAAAAAAUAAAAAUAGAUAAAUUUUUAACA
rfam:Gossypium hirsutum cultivar TM-1 chromosome 26, whole genome shotgun sequence